rnacentral:rRNA from 1 species
UACGGAGGAUGCGAGCGUUAUCCGGAUUCAUUGGGUUUAAAGGGUGCGCAGGUGGGAAAAUAAGUCAGUGGUGAAAUACUGCCGCUUAACGGUAGAAUUGCCAUUGAUACUGUUUUUCUUGAGUAUGGUUGAGGUAGGUGGAAUGUGUUGUGUAGCGGUGAAAUGCAUAGAUAUGACACAGAACGCCGAUUGCGAAGGCAGCUUACUAAGCCAUUACUGACGCUGAGGCACGAAAGCGUGGGGAUCGAACAGGAUUAGAUACCCUGGUAGUCCACGCCGUAAACGAUGAUCACUCGCUGUUUGCGAUAUACAGCAAGCGGCUGAGCGAAAGCAUUAAGGGAUCCACCUGGGGAGUACGAUCGCAAGGUUGAAACUCAAAGGAAUUGACGGGGGCCCGCACAAGCGGAGGAACAUGUGGUUUAAUUCGAUGAUACGCGAGGAACCUUACCUGGGCUUAAAUGUAGGCUGCAUUCGGCUGAAAGGCUGAUUCCCUUGGGGGCUGCUUACAAGGUGCUGCAUGGUUGUCAUCAGCUCGUGCCGUGAGGUGUCGGGUAAGUCCCAUAACGAGCGCAACCCUUAUCGUUAGUUGCCAGCGGGUCAAGCCGGGGACACUAGCGAGACUGCCACCGUAAGGUGAGAGGAAGGUGGGGAUGACCUCAAA